rnacentral:rRNA from 1 species
GACUAACGCUGGCGGCGUGCCUAACACAUGCAAGUCGAACGGGGUCCUGGUUCGCCAGGGCCUAGUGGCAGACGGGUGAGUAACACGUAGGUAAUGUACCCUCUUGCUGGGGAUAUCUGUCCGAAAGGACAAUUAAUACCGAAUAUGCCAAUCCUAGGGCAUCUUGGGGUUGGCAAACUGGCAACGGGCGAGGGGAUCAGCCUGCGGACCAUCAGCUAGUUGGUGGGGUAAUGGCCUACCAAGGCGACGACGGUUAGCCGGUUUGAGAGGACGAUCGGCCACACUGGGACUGAAACACGGCCCAGACUCCUACGGGUGGCUG